AUCUCACGAACGGAUGAUUGACGCUGAGGCACGAAAGCGUGGGGAUCAAACAGGAUUAGAUACCCUGGUAGUCCACGCAGUAAACGAUGAUAACUAACCGCUGGGCCUUUGGGUUCAGUGGCCAAACGAAAGCGAUAAGUUAUCCACCUGGGGAGUACGACCGCAAGGUUGAAACUCAAAGGAAUUGACGGGGGCCCGCACAAGCGGAGGAACAUGUGGUUUAAUUCGAUGAUACGCGAGGAACCUUACCCGGGCUCGAACGGCAGAGGAACAAUCCAGAGAUGGUGCGGCCCUUCGGGGCUUCUGUCGAGGUGCUGCAUGGUUGUCGUCAGCUCGUGCCGUGAGGUGUCGGCUUAAGUGCCAUAACGAGCGCAACCCUUGCCAUUAGUUACCAGCAUGUGAUGAUGGGGACUCUAGUGGGACUGCCACCGCAAGGUGUGAGGAAGGGGGGGAUGACGUCAAAUCAGCACGGCCCUUACGUCCGGGGCGACACACGUGUUACAAUGGGAGUUACAGAGGGGCACUACCUGGUAACAGGAUGGGAAUCUCUAAAAGCUCUCUCAGUCCGGAUCGGAGUCUGCAACCCGACUCCGUGAAGCU
rnacentral:rRNA from 1 species